UCUUGCAGUCCCACACUCCUCGCCUCCAUAGACCUAGCCGCCUCCUUCCCGUUCCCAUUGGCGUCUCUUGGCUAUUGGAGCACUGCAAAAUCGCCUCCCUUGCCGGUGAUCGGUGGCGGCCGGUGACGCGCGUCACGCUGCCAACUCUGCGACGGCGAGUUGGACCAGAGGGAGCGUCGCGGAGCAAGGGUACCAGAGAGGAUUGGGAUCCAGCAAGGAUUUUUAGGCAUGCUACCGAAUACCGAUUCCUGCCGUCGGCCCAUCAUCAUCUGCAGUCAUUUUUUGUUUGGAUUGGUUAGAUGCCAAGCAUAGUCGCUCACAUGUCUUAUACGCUCUCAGUAUUAGUGCACGGAUCAGACCAUCAAUACCAUAGGUACUCUUCUCGUUUCCUCAAAUCUGCUAUGAAAUUGUAGAUUACAAAAGACACCUGAUAUUACAGUUUGUGUACCUCAAAUGAGUGAGACUGGCCAUUCAUUUGUUUUGAAUUUUCUUCUAAUCAAUUCAAUCUGCAAGGUUAAGUGUUGACACAUGGAACUUUGAUAACAUGUCAUAUUUUACUGGGAUGCUACAUUACCUCGAUACACAUAAGUUCUGCAAUUGAUUAUUGACUUUCCGAAACAUCAAUUUCACCUUUAUAUAUUUUCAUUGUGACUUUCUGACAUGUAAUGAAUCUCAAUCCACUACUAAAUUAUCUACUUAUUUCAGUACGAUCAGUUUAUAUUUCAGUGGUUCAAUUAUUGGGCUAUCAAUACACGUGCAUUUACAAGUCCAGCAAUGAGCAUUAGAGGAGCAACUAACGUACAGGCUGGUAGGCAACAUCGUCUGUGUGGGCUUUGUUGACGGCUUCUGCCGCGAGUGCCACCCUUAAGUCCAGUACUGAUGUGAGUGCUGCCCCUGCAAGGUCUGGAAUGAGCAGAUACAGAUUUUGCGCCAAGUUUGUUUCUAAUUCCGUGUGCACUGAGGAAGGUAAGCAGGCCCGUUCCAUUGAAUUUCAUGCAGGUUUUCCAUUACUGUACUUAAUACUUGAAUUGCAGCAGAAUCGUGGCAAAAAAAAUACCCUUUAACUAUUUCUCUAGAUGUAAACUGCAGUUAAUCAAUAUACCGUGAUUUAUGUAAUGUUAUUGACCUUGAGCUACUUACGUUAUGAAAUACAAGAUAUCUGUGAUGGCGUUGUAGGCAGAGACAAAACGAGAGAAGCCACAAGCAGGCGCGCAUCAGCCGCAAGAAAGAACAGCUAUACUACUGGCAGGUUUCCUUUCAUUUUUUCAUGUGUGGUAACCACUAUGACUUAUGUGUCUGAAGAGCUAUUUCAAUUGCACAUGUUGGCAAAAUUGUAGUUUUGGCAUGCCACCGAGGUUCCAUAUAUCAGCAAGACUUGAGAUAUUCACAUAUUAGCAUUGAUCUUAUGAGGAAAAAAGAUUAGAACGACAGCAAUUUUCUACUCUUUAGUUAGUUUUUUUUUUGUUUUUUUGGAGUUGCAAAUAUAUAGGACUAGGUGGUAUACAAUAUUUUGAUACAAGAUUGUAAAUUGUCUACUCUUCAAGGAAUUUUUGUGCAUGGAAUA